ensembl:lncRNA
CGAAAGUAGUUGCCUGAAAACAAGCUCACAGUGGAUUUAAGCCACUUCCUGGGUAGUUUGAGCUUGUUUGUUUUUCACAUGCAUCAGAUCUACAUGGACAUGUCUCAGCAGACAGGUGGAGCACUUCAUCAUCCAUUUCUCCACAGACCAUGUUUUCACGAGGUCAAGCUAUGAAGUGACCACCUGACUGAUGCACACGAGAAAUGGAGGGCAGCAAGCCUGCACGAGAUGGCCCCAUCAAAAAUGAACCACAUAUGCAAAGCCAGCAUGUACAUUAAGUUCGCGCUGACAAGCUGCAGCUGGUUUCAGGUGAAAAAUUCUCUGAAAGCCUGAAGAAAAAACUGCAACCUUUGACCAUCUUACUUGUUUGAUAUUAUGGCCCUUUCCAUGGCAACAGAUUGUGAUGUCAUGCAUGGACAGAUUAUGAGGUCAAAAAUUGCCCAGGAUGGAGCCAGGGGAGGAUGUAGGAAAGAUUCUGGAACUACGUAAAUAUAUUUCAAAGUAUUCAAAAGAAGUGGAAAACACACUUACAUUAAAGGUAUCAAAAGCAUCAAACCACAAGGAAGGUGCUUAUCAUAAACUCAGAUUACAAAUGGCAAAAUCAAGGCACAGGAUAUUUUUUCUGCUUUGCACAGGAAAAAAUGCUUUCAACAAUUUGAAAAUAAACUUCCAUGUGUAUAGCAAACCAAGACUCUGUUCUACCCAUUUACAGAAGGAGAUAUUAAUACAAAUGAAGAGUGAAUCUGAAUGAAGAGACCUUGCAAUGAGGCCAUCUCAAGGCUAUCAAGACCACAAUGCAGUUUCUCAAAUUCCCUGAAGCAGAAAUGCUGCCUACUUCUCUGCAUUUUUCCUUUGUGUAAGGGUCUUAUGCCUGUCACUUGCUAAGGUGAAGAAGAGUCUGUGAACUAACAUCAGAUUCCACCUCUGACCUUUUUUCCAGGGUUUUCUUGUCUCCAAAUCUACCACUGUGGCAGAAAGUCCUAAUGCUACUCCCAGUCAUCUUCAUGUACACCAUACUCUCUUGGAAAUUUGAUUCACAGAAAUGAUAAGAUACGCUGGUGUCUUUACCAGGAGGAUCUUCCAACAGAGCAACAUAGAUGAAUAGAGCCAGCAUGGGGGACAGUACUGACAAAGCACUUACUUUGUCUCCAUAUUGGAUGCUGAGGCAUCUAGUAUUUCUAAUUUAGCAUUUUUGCCAGGAACUUUGAAUCCAAACUCCACUUUCAACAUAUACAUGUAAAUAAUUGUCAGGUUAUAUUCAUGAAAACAAGACCAAAACUUAGACCACAGAUUUUCCAGGGAAAAAUGAGUGCUGCAUUUCUGGCAAUUAGGAGCAGUAAAGUAAACAUUUAGUCACCAUUGACUCAUGAGCCGAAAAACACAGUAGUCAAUUACAG